AGUGAACGCUGGCGGUAGGCCUAACACAUGCAAGUCGAACGGCAGCACAGUAAGAGCUUGCUCUUACGGGUGGCGAGUGGCGGACGGGUGAGGAAUACAUCGGAAUCUACUUUUUCGUGGGGGAUAACGUAGGGAAACUUACGCUAAUACCGCAUACGACCUACGGGUGAAAGCAGGGGAUCUUCGGACCUUGCGCGAUUGAAUGAGCCGAUGUCGGAUUAGCUAGUUGGCGGGGUAAAGGCCCACCAAGGCGACGAUCCGUAGCUGGUCUGAGAGGAUGAUCAGACACACUGGAACUGAGACACGGUCCAGACUCCUACGGGAGGCAGCAGUGGGGAAUAUUGGACAAUGGGCGCAAGCCUGAUCCAGCCAUACCGCGUGGGCGAAGAAGGCCUUCGGGUUGUAAAGCCCUUUUGUUGGGAAAGAAAAGCAGCAGGUUAAUACCCCGCUGUUCUGACGGUACCAAAAGAAUAAGCACCGGCUAACUUCGUG
rnacentral:rRNA from 1 species